GCCGAGGUGGCGGAACUGGCAGACGCGCAGCGUUGAGGGCGCUGUGGGCUUUUGCCUGUGCGGGUUCGAGUCCCGCCCUCGGCA
rnacentral:tRNA from 2 species